AGGAUGCUGAAAAGCCAGUGGGGUUACUCAAAACAUUGUCUCAACCCGUGGAAGAUGGAUUCAAAAGCAUCUUCAGAGGAUACACCUGAAGCAAUGGAAAAGAAUGGUGAGAUGGAGUCACUGAACCAAGAAGAAUAGAGUACUUCUACCAACAAUGAUUCAGAUAAAGAAAUCAGUUGAUUUUGGGAAAAGAAUUAGUGAGUUCUCAGGGGAG
rnacentral:lncRNA from 1 species